rnacentral:rRNA from 1 species
CACUCCUACGGGAGGCAGCAGUGGGGAAUAUUGGACAAUGGGCGCAAGCCUGAUCCAGCCAUGCCGCGUGAGUGAUGAAGGCCCUAGGGUUGUAAAGCUCUUUCACCGGUGAAGAUAAUGACGGUAACCGGAGAAGAAGCCCCGGCUAACUUCGUGCCAGCAGCCGCGGUAAUACGAAGGGGGCUAGCGUUGUUCGGAUUUACUGGGCGUAAAGCGCACGUAGGCGGACUAUUAAGUCAGGGGUGAAAUCCCGGGGCUCAACCCCGGAACUGCCUUUGAUACUGGUAGUCUUGAGUUCGAGAGAGGUGAGUGGAAUUCCGAGUGUAGAGGUGAAAUUCGUAGAUAUUCGGAGGAACACCAGUGGCGAAGGCGGCUCACUGGCUCGAUACUGACGCUGAGGUGCGAAAGCGUGGGGAGCAAACAGGAUUGGAUACCCCUGUAGUCCCAUGAU